CUGGCUCAGGAUGAACGCUGGCGGCGUGCCUAAUACAUGCAAGUCGAACGAGUUCUCGUUGAUGAUCGG
rnacentral:rRNA from 1 species